AACGAACGCAGGCGGCAGGCUUAACACAUGCAAGUCGAACGCCCCGCAAGGGGAGUGGCAGACGGGUGAGUAACGCGUGGGAAUCUACCUAGUUCUACGGAACAACACAGGGAAACUUGUGCUAAUACCGUAUACGCCCUACGGGGGAAAGAUUUAUCGGAAUUAGAUGAGCCCGCGUAAGAUUAGCUAGUUGGUGGGGUAAUGGCCUACCAAGGCGACGAUCUUUAGCUGGUCUGAGAGGAUGAUCAGCCACACUGGGACUGAGACACGGCCCAGACUCCUACGGGAGGCAGCAGCGGGGAAUAUUGGACAGUGGGCGAAAGCCUGAUCCAGCCAUGCCGCGUGAGUGAUGAGGGCCUUAGGGUUGUAAAGCUCUUUCAGUAGGGAAGAUAAUGACGGUACCUACAGAAGAAGCCCCGGCUAACUUCGUGCCAGCCGCCGCGGUAA
rnacentral:rRNA from 1 species